rnacentral:rRNA from 1 species
CGGAGGGUCCAAGCGUUAUCCGGAAUCAUUGGGUUUAAAGGGUCCGUAGGCGGUUUAGUAAGUCAGUGGUGAAAGCCCAUCGCUCAACGGUGGAACGGCCAUUGAUACUGCUAGACUUGAAUUAUUAGGAAGUAACUAGAAUAUGUAGUGUAGCGGUGAAAUGCUUAGAGAUUACAUGGAAUACCAAUUGCGAAGGCAGGUUACUACUAAUGGAUUGACGCUGAUGGACGAAAGCGUGGGUAGCGAACAGGAUUAGAUACCCUGGUAGUCCACGCCGUAAACGAUGGAUACUAGCUGUUGGGAGCGAUCUCAGUGGCUAAGCGAAAGUGAUAAGUAUCCCACCUGGGGAGUACGUUCGCAAGAAUG